rnacentral:lncRNA from 1 species
CCGGAUGUUUGUUUUCCAUUCAUAAAGUACGUAUUUCAAACGACGUCCAAAUGAGGAAUUAACCAAUCAUACUCGUGUUAGGCUUUCAGAUUAUGCAACAAACUUGACAGUUAUUUACGUUUCGUCUUUGUAGUCGUUCAACAUCUGACUGGAACGUAUACAAAAUUUUGGUGAAUGACACUCCCGAUUGAAUUGGAUAUCAUAACAGACGCUUCCAGUAGUUAUUGAACAAUCAUGGGUCAGGAUAUGUCCCGUUGGAAAUUGUCAAUUGAAGACGCACAAUUCUUGAAGGUGUGCUGAGUUUGUGGAUCGCACUAGAUCAAUGUACCACUAUUUUGUAGAUUCUUUGUUGUGAUGCAAUGUUACAUCCAAGAAAUUCAGAAUAAUAUACUGUGCUGAUUCACCAGCUGGAAGAGUGUUCUGCAUUGCAAGUUCAAAUGUAUCCUGUUUUUGUCUGGAAAUUGCGAUAUUCAUUUUGUUAAAUGUUGCAGAUAAGGGCGUAUUUCCUUGCAAGAGCAGCAACUCAAUAACUUCCAUCCCAUUCCAAAGUAUAUACGAAUAAAAUACACGCGUUGUUCUUUCAUCAGCCCAAUACAGGAAGACAAAGUUGACGUUUUGUUUCUGUAAUGUCGCUUGCUUCAAAGCUGGUUUCUAUCAUCAAUGUUCAACCAGGUUGCGGAAUGUUGGUCACAGUUCAUGACACUGGACUACAUGUAUGUCAGACAUUAAUGUUCUUACUCUGUUACAAAUUCAAGCACUUCCUGUUUCCAACGCUCAAUAAAAGUCCAUGCAAACUUGUACGAGAACAUAACGACCGUGAAAAAAUA